rnacentral:tRNA from 1 species
GGAUUGUGGCUCAGUGGUAGAGUGCUUGCCUAGCACACGUGAGGCACUGGGUUCAAACUUCAGCACCA